GACGAACGCUGGCGGCGUGCCUAAGUACAUGCAAGUCGAGCGGACCCUUCGGGGUCAGCGGCGGACGGGUGAGUAACACGUGGGUAAUCUGCCCAACUGACUGGAAUAACGCCUGGAAACGGGUGCUAAUGCCGGAUAGGCAACUGGUAGGCAUCUACCGGUUGGGAAAGGUGCAACUGCACCGCAGAUGGAGGAGCCCGCGGCGCAUUAGCUAGUUGGUGGGGUAACGGCCUACCAAGGCGACGAUGCGUAGCCGACCUGAGAGGGUGGACGGCCACACUGGGACUGAGACACGGCCCAGACUCCUACGGGAGGCAGCAGUAGGGAAUCUUCCGCAAUGGGCGCAAGCCUGACGGAGCAACGCCGCGUGAGCGAAGAAGGCCUUCGGGUUGUAAAGCUCAGUCACUCGGGAAGAGCGGGCGAGGGAGUGGAAAGCCCUCGUCGAGACGGUACCGAGAGAGGAAGCCCCGGCUAACUACGUG
rnacentral:rRNA from 1 species